rnacentral:rRNA from 1 species
CUCAAAGAUUAAGCCAUGCAAGUCUUUGUAUCCCAGCUCGACAAACUGGGUGACUGCGAACAGCUUAUUAAAAAAGUUAUAAUUUAUUUGAACGUGGACACUUGAGACAGUGUCAAAUCUUUUUAUGUGGAUAACUGUGGGAAAGCUAGAGCUAAUACAUGCAAACAGGAGAGACCUUUCGAAAGAAGGGAAUCUUCGCAUUAACUGGCUAACAUUAAUCAAGGGAGUGCAAACUUUCACUUGUGAUGAAACACAGUUUACUAAAUAGCAAAGCGAGACUAAUCGCUGCUUCAUUCAAAUUUCUUAUCUAUCAACUUUCGAUGGUUGUGUAGAGGACAACCAUGGUGUUAACGGGUGACAGAGAAUAAGGGUUUUAUUCUGGAGAGGGAGCCUUAGAAAUAGCUACCACUUCCAAGGAAGGCAGCAGGCGCGAAAAUUACCCAAUAAAAAUACUUUGAGGUAGUGACAACAAAUAACGACGACGUGUGACACAUGUUAAAAAGUGUGUCUGUCGAUUGUAAUGAGCACAAUUCAAAAAAAUUAGUCAGAAUCAACUGGAGGGCAAGUCUGGUGCCAGCAGCCGCGGUAAUUCCAGCUCCAGUAGCGUAUAUUUAAGUUGUUGUAUUUAAAAAGCUCGUAGUUGAAGCGUGAGUGUCAAAAAUAAAUGGGAGGAGAUGGGAGUAAAAGCUUCUGUCUCACCCAGUGGCAUUCAUAUUGUGGGCAACAGAUACUCAUCUGGACUGAAAGGUUCAGAGGAGAUUACUUUCUAUUGUCCAUUUUACCAUAAGUAAAUUAGAGUGUUUAAAGCAGGACUUUUCGUCCAUUGAAUAAUAGAGUAUGGGAUAAUAAAAGAUGAAAGAAAGAGGAUGCAUUCCUCGGACAGGAGCAAAUUCGUAAGGAUUUGUUUUUGUCCGGUCUUCUCUUCUUUAAUGAUUAAUAGGGGCAAUCGGGGCAAUUAGUAUUUCUGUACGAGUGGUGAAAUAUGGAGACUACAGAAAGACUAACCACUGCGAAAGCAUUUUGCAAGGGUGUUUUCAUUAAUCAAGAACGAAAGUUAAGGGAUUAAAGAUGAUCAGAUACCGUCGUAAUCUUAACUAUAAACAAUGUCGACAAAAGAUGGGAUUGAAAGCACGAAUGUGUUUUCUUUUCAAAAGAAAGGUACUAUUGAGUGGUACUAAUACAUUUCGGUGUGUUGGUAUUGCCGUUUGCUUGUCUCUUCCCGAGUUUCGUAAGAAAUUAAGAGUGAUCGGACUUUGGGGGGAGUAUGGUCGCAAGGCUGAAGCUUAAAGGAAUUGACGGAAGGGCACCACCAGGUGUGGAACUUGCGGUUUAAUUUGACUCAACACGGGAAAACUCACCAGGUCAGGACAUGAUAAGGAUUGACAGAUUAAUAGAUCUUUCAUGAUUUCAAGGGUGGUGGUGCAUGGCCGAUCUUAGUUCGUGGUAUGAAUUGUCGGCUUAAUUGUGAUAACGAACGAGACCAAUAGAGAUAACUAGUGGCCAGUGGAGGAUGCAAACGCAGUGAGCGCGUCUCUGGGAGAAGGGCAUGUUCCCCUUUCAGAUGUCAUCGUGUUCAUUGUAGUCUUCCACCAUGGUCGGGAGUAUGAUUCAAAGUGGGGGUGUCAAAGCCUUUACGAUUGUGCUCUCUAAUAAACAAAAACAACUUCUUAUUUCGACUAUUGAUGUUCAAUCAAUGUAAGUUAUUGUCAAUAUCAGGUCUGUGAUGCCCUUAGAUGUUCUGGGCCACACGCGUGUUACAAUGGUAAAGAUCAGAGGGUUCUGGAAGUCGGAUCUAAUGUGAUAGGAGGGAAGGUGUCAAAGCCUUUCUUUCUGUUGCGUUUCGGGUCUCUUUCUCUGCUUGACAGAAAUGUCUGGCUAAUCCUUUUUCGAAUCUUUUCAACCAUAUCUGGGAUAGAUGCUUGGAAUUUUUCAUCUUCAACUUGGAAUACCUAGUAAGCACAAGUCAACAACUUGUGUUGAUUACGUCCCUGCCCUUUGUACACACCGCCCGUCGCUCCUACCGAUUGAAUUGUCCGAUGAGUUGCAAGGAGAGCAAUAGAAUGUUGCAAAACGUUCUGCCCAAAUUGCAACAAAUCUUAUAAUUUAGAGGAAGGAGAAGUCGUAACAAGGUAACCGUAGGUGAACCUGCAGAAGGAUCA